CGAACGUUCUUCAGUGACACACGAUCCGUGAUACAGUGCGGAAGUAUUAUAAUGUUAUCGCCGUAUGAGCAUUACUGAUUGUAGCGACAUUGUAAUAUUGUAACCAUAAAAUUUAUCGUGAUCACAGUCAACCAGAAAAGAAUAUUAAUUCGAUCUCUAGUAAAUAAUUAACGAUUUAUAGUAUGUUAGGUUACGGUCACAGUGAAUUUCUGUCUCUAUACUUUGUACCAACAAAAAUGCUCGUUACAAAAUGCAAGAUAUGUGCUGAAGAUAUCACAGCCGAAGAUCAUGAAUGUUUAGACGGACUUUUAAAGGUACAUCUUUUAGAUCGACACCGACCAGCAGUAACGCAAGAAGUACACAGAUAUAUCGUUAGUGGCGAAUUGAGGGGAUUUUACACAAUGUUCAUAGAUACUUCUGAGAUAAUAUGCGAAUUUGAUAGUUGCAGUAUCAGUAUAUUUUGUGGUUACGAUUUCUUAAUCAAUCAUUUAAAAUAUCAUCAUGGUCUAUAUAAUCCUGAAAAUCAUCCUUUAUAUGAGCGAAUUGUUUUUUCUGGACAACGGUAUCAACCAACAUGUUGGGAAAAAGCGAACAUUACAGAACACCGGAGCUCUCUUAACUUGAUUUGGCGAUAUUGCACAGUAAUUACGCAUUUUGUGUUAUGCAAUUUUUGUGGUGAACAAUUAUGGCCAACAUUUACGCCAAGAAGAUUUCACAAGAGAUUUAUAGUGCUUCAUAUGAUAAUUAUACAUCGAGAGAGAGUUGAAGAAAUGCUGAAAGAAAUUUGGGAAAGUGUUGAAGAUACUGAUUUAUCACAACAUAUUGCAUUUGACUUGCACAACCUUCAAACAGAAUGCACUUAUUGCGAACGAAAAUUUUGUCCCUUUAAGGCAACAGAUUACUUAAAGAAUCACGCACUUAGCCAUCUUCCAAUAUCACGAGACAUAAUCCAAGAAUCAAAAACUGAAAAAGACCAAUGCGAACUUUUAUGAUAGGGCAACAACCAGCCCCAAGUUUGCAAAAGUAGCAGAGAUCAAGAAAGACGGUAAAUAUUGCAGGUAUUUGGAUUAUAAAAAUUAAUGUUUGCAUCCAACAAUUAAAUAACAAUGUGACUGAGAUACAAAUUUAUAGUAUUAACCACGUUCUAUAGUAAGGCGGAUAAUAAGGACUACAAGGAAAUGCAUUACAUUUCAAAUUUUGAUAGCACCAAUAAGAGGCACAGUUAUGACUUCAGUUUCUUAAAUAGUCUGUAAUAUGUGAUAGGCAUUUAAUACUACUAAUAAUUAAUUUGCUACUACUAAUAAUUAAUUGUUAUGAUACGUAAAGCGAAUUUACAAACUAAGCAUUGACAGUUAUACGAACAUAUAACUUAUUAAUUAAUUUACAGUAAUUAUUCGUAUUCUUUAUUUUUAUAUAAAUUAUUAUUUGAAAUUUUUUGAAUCAUUGUCGACAAAUCCAUUUUUUACGUAUAUUAUACGACACCUGUAUCAUAUCUUUUAAUAUCUUGAUUUAAGUUUUUUAAAAUACUUAUUGAUUGCUUAAACAACUUUAAGAGGUCAAAUUAUUUGUACAAUGUAAAUAUUAAUAUUUGAAAAACGGAAUGGUGUUAAUUUGUGUUAUCACUCUUCAUUACAAGAAACAGAAUGUUAAUAUAGUAUAAACAAUAAACAAUAAAAAAAAUUUAGAUGAAAUUAGUGAAUUAAUAAUAAGUUGAAUUCAAAUAUUAUAACGUUAAAGUUACGCCCACACAUUGUCAAAUUUAGUAUAUACCUUUAUUUAAUAAAAAAAACAGUUAUUAUAAUAUGUAGAAACAACUUUAAGUAUAUUUGAUUUGGUGUAUUGUUAGUUCAUGACCAUAUUUAAUAUUAUCAUUAUAAUUAUAUGUGUUUAAUGAUUAUAACGAUGACGUAGUUGGAAGCAUUCUAACUAAUAAAUUUUAAAAACUGUUUGGUUCAAUUAAUGUCUAAUUAAUCUAAGAUAUAUAACUACUCAGUAUGAUAAAUGUAUAUUUAAUACUUUUGGUGGCAAUAAAUUUUAUUAAACA